GAUGAACGCUGGCGGCGUGCCUAAUACAUGCAAGUCGAGCGAACGGACGAGAAGCUUGCUUCUCUGAUGUUAGCGGCGGACGGGUGAGUAACACGUGGAUAACCUACCUAUAAGACUGGGAUAACUUCGGGAAACCGGAGCUAAUACCGGAUAAUAUUUUGAACCGCAUGGUUCAAUAGUGAAAGACGGUCUUGCUGUCACUUAUAGAUGGAUCCGCGCUUCAUUAGCUAGUUGGUAAGGUAACGGCUUACCAAGGCAACGAUGCAUAGCCGACCUGAGAGGGUGAUCGGCCACACUGGAACUGAGACACGGUCCAGACUCCUACGGGAGGCAGCAGUAGGGAAUCUUCCGCGAUGGGCGAAAGCCUGACGGAGCAACGCCGCGUGAGUGAUGAAGGUCUUCGGAUCGUAAAACUCUGUUAUUAGGGAAGAACAAAUGUGUAAGUAACUGUGCACAUCUUGACGGUACCUAAUCAGAAAGCCACGGCUAACUACGUG
rnacentral:rRNA from 1 species